rnacentral:pre_miRNA from 1 species
AUUAUACUCCCUCCGUUCGGAAUUACUCGUCCAAGAAAUGAAUGUAUCUAGAUGUAUUUUAGUUGUAGAUACAUCCAUUUUUAUUCAUUUUUGUGACAAGUAAUUCCGAACGAAGGGAGUAUUAG